GACGAACGCUGGCGGCGUGCUUAACACAUGCAAGUCGAACGGAAAGGCCCUGCUUUUGUGGGGUGCUCGAGUGGCGAACGGGUGAGUAACACGUGAGUAACCUGCCCUUGACUUUGGGAUAACUUCAGGAAACUGGGGCUAAUACCGGAUAGGAGCUCCUGCUGCAUGGUGGGGGUUGGAAAGUUUCGGCGGUUGGGGAUGGACUCGCGGCUUAUCAGCUUGUUGGUGGGGUAGUGGCUUACCAAGGCUUUGACGGGUAGCCGGCCUGAGAGGGUGACCGGCCAAAUGGGGACGGGGAUAGGGCCCAACCCCCUAGGGGGGGGAGGAGGGGGGAAUAUGGCCAAAGGGGGGGAGGCCUGAGGAAGAACCGCCGGGGGGGGGAUGGGGGCCUUGGGGUGGUAAACCGUUUUCCCCUGGGACGAGGGGGGGGGGACGGUAAUGGGUAAAAAAGCACCGCCUAACUACGG
rnacentral:rRNA from 1 species